CAACCCUCCGGAAGGGUCGUCCUCACGGGCGGCCCCGCUCCGGGCGUUGGGGAUCUGCGAACGUAGCAGGCCCCGAAAAUCAGCGGCGGACCCGCGCGGCCCCUCCCUUGCGUAGUAGCAUCAGCCUCGCAUCGGUGACCCGUGGGACUCCAGCCCCUAAACCCCCCAACAAGCCCGGCCUGGCCGGCACAA
rnacentral:misc_RNA from 1 species